CAACAAAAGCUCUUUGAGAUCGUCAAUAAUUCUUUUAAGUAUAAGGGAUCCCUAGACCAAAUGAUCUGAGAACUGCUGGUCUAGGGGAAGAUGAUGGUACCUAAGUGAAAGCUCUCAGGUUCCACUUGUGCUCAAGUUCUGCCUUUUCAGUCCUCUCUGUUUUACCUGGUUCCUUAUUAUCUCUGGACUUCUGUUAUGAACAUGAUAUUACCAUUAAUUAUGAAACUUAAUCAUAUAUUCAUAUAUUAGUUUAUGGUAUCUUUUUUUUUUUAAGACAGAGUCUUGCUCUGUCGCCAGGCUGGAGUGCGGUGGCAUGAUCUCAGCUCACUGCAACCUCCGCCUCCCGGGUUCAAGCGAUUCUCCUGCCUCAGCCUCCCGAGUAGCUGGGACUACAGGCGCGAGCCACCAUGCCCAGCUAAUUUUUGUAUUUUUAGUAGAGAUGGGGUUUCACCAUGUUGGCCAGGAUGGUCUCGAUCUCUUGACCUCGUGAUCUGCCCGCCUCGGCCUCCCAAAAUGCUGGGAUUACAGGCCUGAGCCACCAUGCCUGGCCUAUGGUAUCUCUUAAUGGAUUGAGGUAUAUACAUAUUUUAUAUUAUUUCUUCAACUACUUUGCAUGUCUAGAGUACAGACAUUUUUAUAUUUUCUUUUUUUUUUUUUUUAAACCUCAGAAUCUAGUAUAUAGAGAUUGUACAUUAGAAUGGAUUUUUGCUGAAUAAAACCAAUUCUGAUCUUCCCUCUUAGACACAGAAUUCCAGAGUGGAAAGGGCUUUUGGGCAUCAAUCCAGUUUGGCCAUUUCAUUUCAUAGAUGAGGAAGCAGAAGUCUGGUUCUCAAGAAGCCUUGUCCAAGGUCGUGCAGCUUUUGUUACUAGAAAAUUAAGUCCUAGGUCCUUUCCAGUAUACUUCCCACCUCAUCUUUUUCUUUUAGCACAUUUAUUAAGGGUGAACUAAUAAUGAAUUAAGGCAUAAUAUUAGGUUGAAGUAAAGCAACCCAGUCUUGUGUCUUAAAUUAUUAUUAUCGCAAAUCAUAUUUUCCAGUAUGCUCUUUUACUUUUCAAAUGAUAGCGUCAUGUGUAUUUGUGAAGUGGAAGUUUUAUAUUGAACAGAUACGGACAUUGGCACAGUGUUGUAUUCCUGAGUUUGUAUGGAAAGUUAACUCAAAGGAGAAUGCAGUGGUUUCAAUCAUGGUUUAAUAUUUGUGUUGGUUUUCCUAAGAUGAAUGGUGGGCUUUCCCCUGCCCAAGCCAUUUACCAUUUACCAGCAGAGUCAUGAAUUUGAGGUCCCGUUUUGAUUGACUUCUUCAUUAGAGCAUUUAAAAUAUUACUUUCUUUCUAGGGUCCAAAUUCCAAGCCUGUAGUGUCCUUCAUUGCUGGUUUAACUGCUCCUCCUGGGAGAAGAAUGGGUCAUGCCGGGGCAAUUAUUGCUGGAGGAAAAGGUGGAGCUAAAGAGAAGAUCUCUGCCCUUCAGAGUGCAGGAGUUGUGGUCAGUAUGUCUCCUGCACAGCUGGGAACCACGAUCUACAAGGAAUUUGAAAAGAGGAAGAUGCUAUGAAAGAAAAAAAAAAUUCCUAAAACUGUGGAAUGGAUCACGUAGACAUGUAACCCAGCAGCAGUUUGCUUCUGUUGUCCACUGAUUAAUCAGCCUAUGUGCCUGACACUGGUCUUGCAGUACAACUGGAAGCCAAAACAAGGUGGAAGAUGUCCUGAAUUAAGAUGUUUUCACCACAUUGUAUUACAGAGACAGCCAAUAAAUCUACUAUUUGAUUUC
rnacentral:lncRNA from 10 species